ACUGUUUUUUUUUUCUUCUUUGUAGUUAUAGGCAAUACAAACUGUAAGCGUGAGAACAUUACGCAACAAGGGAAACUGUCAACCAUUAAUCUUCCUAUUCACCAUUGUAACUGUUGUGGGAAGGGGACAAAGACGCUCUGGCACUGAAGACUUUCUGCAUAUCCGAAGAGUAGGAUGUUAGAGGUUACAUUGAUGGCUCAGCAGGAGAGUCAGCUCAUCUGAAUGCAGCUAGCCACCAGCAGCAGUCCCUGAGGCACCUCUACGGCACAGACACAAAUGAGCCUGAGGUCACAGCAAAACUGAGAGACCCACCAUCGGCUUCACAGGCUCAAAAGGUAAAUGAAGGCCUCAUGGAGAAUCAAAACACCGAGUUAUGAGAAAUCAGUGUGCCAGCAAUGCCACAUGUGAUAAUGGCUCCAGAUGACAGAACUACAAAGAAGAAAAUCCAGCAGGGCCCUCAAAAUAAGAAAGCUAC